rnacentral:tRNA from 1 species
UGAAGUAGAACUAACAGGCACUGCCGUUUCAAUGGGAAAUCCGCAUAUCGUUUUUCCGAUCGCAGACAUUGAACAG